CUGUAAUCCAUCGACAACCUGGUGGAAAUCAAACACUGAGGAGGGAAAAUAAGUUCACAGAAAGUCCAAAAAACAACAACAACAAAAACAAAUCCAGCGCCAUACGCACCAAGGCCAGGCAAAUGUAUGACCACGCCGUUACCUACAAGAUCAGAGAGAAGAUAUCAAAGAGUUGAGACGAAACACAUUUGUGAAAUGACUUCACCUUAAAGCAUCACAAUGACUUCAAGCAGACAUCCAGAACUCAGACUCUGAUCCAACUGAAAAGAUGUGGGAGCUGCACACAAGACAUACCCUCUCGUAAUAUGACUGACGGGUACACGCUUAUGCAACCAGUUUAUUCAAUUAUAUGAUUCAAUAUUUUACCAUGGGCAGCAUAAUGAAGGGUUCGAAUCUCAGCUGUGACCUUCCUAUAUUGAAUUUGCAUAUUCUCCCCUCCCCGUAUUUGCACGGGUUUUCUCUGGGUCCUCCAUGUUCCUUCCACAUUCCAAAAACAUUCGGUUAAGUUCCCUGAAUUCUAAAUUGAUAAGUGUCAUUGUGAGUACGAAUGGUUGCUUUUCUCCAGCCCAGGAUGUUGUUCGCCUCUCAGUCAGCUGGGAUUGGUUGCACCUCACUCAUGAGCAGACAAAAAAAAAAAGGUAUUGCUUUUCUUAUAUUAUUCUAAGAUGUAUUUUUCAAUUCCGGUGUGGUUGUGCAUCACAUUUUUUUUAAACAUGGAUCACUCUAUAAAACAAUAUUAAGACCGUCGUUGACAAUCCAUGGUCUUUUCCACUUCACAUAGUCUGCCCGCCCUAUUUUAACACCCCUGGCUCAGAAUCUGCUGUUGGGGCCACGUCUGCCCUCCCUCUCAGACUUGGCCUUCUCACAUAUCAAGCCACUCUGAGAAUGUGACUUGCUCUAUAGUGCACUGGUUGUGUAAAGGAGGGAUCUGGCUUGUGCUGUUGGAAAAUAAAGUACAACGUCCAGCCACUGUUGGCAGCUCGUCCAGAACUGGACUGACCAAUGAUUUCUGACCAGUGUUAUAUCUCACAUGCGAGUAAUCUGAAGCCGACUCAAUGUUUUUAUUAUGAUAGUCAAUCAACGCACGCACAUAAACAUCGCAUUA